CCUACGGGUGGCAGCAGUGGGGAAUAUUGGACAAUGGGGGGAACCCUGAUCCAGCGACGCCGCGUGAGUGAAGAAGUAUUUCGGUAUGUAAAGCUCUAUCAGCAGGGAAGAAAAUGACGGUACCUGACUAAGAAGCCCCGGCUAACUACGUGCCAGCAGCCGCGGUAAUACGUAGGUGGCAAGCGUUAUCCGGAAUGACUGUGCGUAAAGGGUGCGUAGGUGGUUUAGUAAGUUGGCGGUGUAAUUCCGGGGCUCAACCCCGGCGAGCCGUUGAAACUGGCUGUCUUGAGAUGUCGAGAGGUAUGCGGAAUGCGCAGUGUAGCGGUGAAAUGCUUAGAUAUUGCGCAGAACUCCGAUUGCGAAGGCAGCAUACCGGCGGCGAUCUGACGCUGAGGCACGAAAGCGUGGGUAUCGAACAGGAUUAGAUACCCUGGUAGUC
rnacentral:rRNA from 1 species